rnacentral:rRNA from 1 species
CCUACGGGAGGCAGCAGUGGGGAAUAUUGCACAAUGGGCGAAAGCCUGAUGCAGCAACGCCGUGUGAAUGAAGAAGGCCUUAGGGUCGUAAAAUUCUGUCCUAAGGGAAGAAAAAGAUGACGGUACCUUAGGAGGAAGCCCCGGCUAACUACGUGCCAGCAGCCGCGGUAAUACGUAGGGGGCAAGCGUUAUCCGGAAUUAUUGGGCGUAAAGAGUACGUAGGUGGCUAUAUAAGCGCAUGGUGAAAGGCAGAGGCUUAACCACUGUUAGCCUUGCGAACUGUAUAGCUUGAGUGCAGGAGAGGGAAGCGGAAUUCCUAGUGUAGCGGUGAAAUGCGUAGAUAUUAGGAGGAACACCAGUGGCGAAGGCGGCUUUCUGGACUGUAACUGACACUGAGGUACGAAAGCGUGGGGAGCAAACAGGAUUAGAUACCCCAGUAGUC